rnacentral:rRNA from 1 species
UACGGAGGGUGCAAGCGUUAUCCGGAUUCACUGGGUUUAAAGGGUGCGUAGGUGGGUUGGUAAGUCCGUGGUGAAAUCUCCGAGCUUAACUCGGAAACUGCCGUGGAUACUAUCAAUCUUGAAUACUGUGGAGGUAAGCGGAAUAUGUCAUGUAGCGGUGAAAUGCUUAGAUAUGACAUAGAACACCGAUAGCGGAGGCAGCUUGCUACACAGUCAUUGACA